rnacentral:lncRNA from 1 species
CUUUACUACAUGGAGGACACUUCAUUUAUUCUUUUGAAAUCUGUAGUGUUCACAAGUUUGGCAUAUGAAAUAAUCACAAACAAUGAAUUAUUGUGUUUGGAGGGGGGGGGGAACACCCCCAACACGGCAUCUCUCCCCCACAAGAACUUUGUUUCUAUCUACAACUGGAACUUCGUCUGAGGAAGCAAAACUGGCCAAAAAAAGUUUUCAUAGAUUAUAGCUUUUCCUUUUACUCACUCCCCCCUUUUCCUAACAUGAACAAGAGAGCUCUGAUUCGGGGGGGGGGGGGGCUUGCACUUUGGCUAAAUGGAAUCUUUCUCCUCACUCUUGGCAACCAUGGGAGUAUUCUUGUGCAGUAUGACAAGGCUCUCUCUAGUCAGUGCUAUAUUUAUCUUGUAGCUGAACACACAUUUGCAAGAGCUUGUUCAAUAACAGAAAGGCAACAAGCCAAGGCACUUCGGUCCUAGGAAGUUCUUUCCAGCAUCCUCCCAACUCCGGGCUGACUGCAGCGGCUGAGUUUCCUGGCGGCCGGGAAGAGUUAACUGCAGACUUGCAACAAAGGAUGAUCUGACUUGCCUGUGGCUUUGUCCAAGGCGAAGAAAUAUUUGAUAAGAUGGAGUUCAACAAGCUUCUGAGUGCAUCAGGAGGACCGAAUCAGAGACGAGAAGAGGAGGCUCGUGCCAGUGCUGGCGGCACGGAUGCCGGUGUCAGUGAUGACCUGGAUUUUGUACAAAUGUAUCUUACCUGUUUACCUGAGAGAUACAUGGAGGCAAAGUUUACGCUGACAGCAUAUCUGGCAUGCUGGCUAAUCUUGAAACUCUGUAAGAGAGCUUUGGAGAAAAGAUGCUCAGCCUCUCAAAAGGCCCCAGAGCCAGUAGAAAAUUGCACAAGUGAAGGAGAGUUUGAAGAAGAGCGGAGUUCUUCGGUCCCAAGUACGUUAGAGUUGGAGAUUCGUGGAUCAGGCCAAGAAACUGAUGAAGACUAUUUUGAGACCCAGUCACAUCAGAGUGAAUCACUGUCAGACAUCAAGACAGAGCCUUAUGAAAGUGCAUCAGACUCGGAGUCUUUUGCCAGUGAUGUAACAAGAGAAACCAGCCUGAGUUCAUUCUGCCUUUCUGCAGAACUAGAGGAACCAUGGCAGAAGUAUGCUGAAGGAAAAGUAGAAAAAGCUCCCUUCAAGGCUGAGUGUGCAAGACAUCUGGGAUGCAUGCAUAAGGAAGCAGGGGAACUACCUUCACCUUUGCACAUAGCAGCUGGCAAAGGUGAAUUGGAAGUACAGGCAACAGUCUCAAAAACAGAAGAGAUCAAUGGAAAUGAGAAAGUGUUACCUUACAGUAUUACCUGCACAGGGUUUAACAUUAGUAAAGAGGUCCUUGUGCCACAGAUAGAGGCCUCAUUGGUAGUGGAGGCAAAAUCUGUUGACAGAGAGCCACACCUGCAUAUCUGCUCAAAAAAUCUAGCUGAAGGUGCUGUUGGCAAAGGCAAUAAAAAUACAGAACGAUCAGUGUUUGCUUGUCACAGAGCAAACUCUGAAAACUCAUUGACUUCCCUUGAGACUGAACAUCCUCCUGCCCACUCAGAAGCUGUUUCAAGAUGCAGUCUGCCUAAUAUUCACUUAGAAACAAACAGAACUUGUAAGAGAAACUGUGAAUCAUCCAAAGUUAGGUGUAAACGGGAGUAUAUACUGAACACCAAGUGCAAUAGGAAGAAUGGUAUUGAGAGUCAGAAACCUGUAGAUGCACACUUGUGUGACACAAAGCUGAAGGCCACAGGUUUACCAUGUAUAAAAUCUACAUUUCUGGUGCCACCCACGAAGCCAGGGAUUGUAGAAAUGAAAUCAUGGCACAGUUCACCAGGAAACAUAAGUGCCCGAGAGGUCAGGGAACAUGCUAAUGACUGUAUUUGCAUGGCUGAUAAAUUAAGUUGGUCGUGCUCCAGAUUACCCCUAGGAAUGUCGGAUUAUGAAAAGGUAAGGGGCAAUUUAGAAAGGUUUGGUGACUGCCCACAGAAGUCCUUCAAGAUGGAAAAAGAGACAGGUAUUGAAAAAUCACUUCUUAAUACUCAUCUAGUCUCAAAUAAGAACCAGUUGGCAACAAGAUCCCACUGGAAUACCAGUAAGAAUUUGCAUGAUAAAUCAAAUAUCUUUGGCCUUUCAACAAAAAGAGCAGAUACACUAGAGAAUGAUUCUUUGACCCUAUCCCAGCUGCCAUAUCACUCAGAGGAUCAUUCCAGACUGGAAACUCCUUCAAGCUUUAGGAGUCUCUACCAGCAAAUAUAAAUGCCAAAAUAGUACUAAGAAAAGAUCAGUUCAAAUCUGAGGGUGAGAUAGAAAUUAACACGUUCCUUCAGAAUCCUAGCUCUGAAUCUGACAGCCGUGAUGCUAUAGCCCAAGAGAAUUAUCUGGGUGGCUAUAGCAUGGCAGAUAAGUAUGGCAAUACUUACGACAUCCACGCUUCCACUGUUAGCACAGAGGUGAACAUGGAGAGAAAAUGCCUUGAAACGCAAAACACUGAGGCCUUUCUAGGGGCAGCUGAGAUAAGGAACGAUUCAGAAUUUGGAUUAGGUUGGGGAAUGUUUGAUGGGAUUCUGACAUUAAGUGGAAAAAAGGUCAUGGGGCAACAAGAGGAAACAGUGCUUCAAAACAGGAGCAGGGCGUCUGAUGCCUUAAAAUGUCCUUCCAUUCAGGAGAGAACAAAUGUGCACCUCACAAGAAUAGAAAAGAAGGAUUUUCAUUGUGGUGGUGGUGGUGGUGGUGAAGAUGUCUCUGCUUUCAAACUAACACCAACACCACAUCACAUUUGCCAGGAAGAAAAAUUGGAGAAUCUUUCAGAGUUAAAACCUCUCUUGAUUAAAUCUCUUGAUCAAAAAGGACUACUGUCAAAUAAGAUGGAUGGUGAGACCUAUGUGGAUGAAUUAACCACUGAGACAUUGGAACAUGAGAACUCAGCCUCUUCUCUCAUCACCAUGGUGGACACCACAAAACCACAGAAGACUCCAAAUGCACAACCCUGUUGUGGAAAUGAAAUUCUGCCUGUACAUGCUAUAUCAGGCAGUGAAGAUGAGUUCCCUGUUAGCAUCUCCACCCAAGAAGGUGAGGAGGAAGCAGAAGCAAUGGGUCUUGAUUUAUCUUCAGUGCCUGCCCCUGAAAUUAACACAAGAGCUAGUCUUGAGAACAAUUCUCUAGGACUAAUUUAAAUAUGGAAAGUACUGUACAAAACUGGAAAGAAGAGGGGUAUGCAAAUGGUUUGUUCUUAGAACCACUUGCCACUAAUUCUGAGAUACUGCUAAUCAAGCCCUCCCGAGUGAAAGGUGACUCUGUCUUAGAAUCGGUCCAAGCAGUAAACCUACAGUUUGAACCAGGAGGCUAUACAGUGGCAGAUGAAUCUGUGACCAAAAAUAGACAGCGAGACACUUGUGUUAUCACUGCAGGAACACAGGAAAUAAAUAGCAAUAGUAACCUGUGCCAGAAUGUCAUUGCUGGUGAUAAGACCCUAGGACAUAAUGUCCAUAGUAAGCAAAUUAUUGAAAAGGAAGGCACCAAACAUUGUGAUACAGCACGUGGAAAAACAGGCUUUUGUGAAGGUUCUCCAAGCACAGGACUGAACAGGAGCUUUUCUGCUGAGGAGCCAAAGUGCAUUAGCAGAUACAGUCAAUGGAAUCCAAGCACAGAUAUCUGUGACACUAAUGUGAGAAUGGACAGCCAAGAUAAUACCACCACAGGCCUAGAUAAUAUCAGCAUGGAAAGCACAAACAGUGAGGAGUUAAAUGAGAACCUAUUUAACUUCCUGGGUAGUAACAGCAGUUUCUACAAGGCAGUUCAGAGAAACAAUAAGGCUGGGGCCACAGAGAAAUCUUCCAAGCAGUCUAAAUUUUUAGCCUUUUCAAAAAUGGCAUCCUUCAGGAAAUCUAAACUAAUGUCUAGCUGAAAAUCAAGAUAGUGUCAAGGCCAAGACAGAAACAUUGGAUGGAGAUAAAGGGGAUGAGAUAGAAGAUGACUUGAAGUAUAUUCAAAGCAGUUCACCCAGCUCUGCUUUCCAAAGCAAGGAACGUUGCCUUGCAGAAUAUUUGGACGAUGAUGACUUAUUUUAUGAGAAACCUGCUGGACUCUUCAACAGAAUCAGCCUGAGAAAGGCUUCUGGCUCUGGCCGGAUACUCCUGGAAGGUAUGGGCACAAGUUCUUCUCCCAUAAUGACAAGAAGAAAGCACUCUGAAGGGAAAGUUUUAGGUUCUGUUGAGAAUAAUGACAAUGAGUCUGUGGAGUAUCCUGAACUCAAGAAAUCCUCAUCUGAGAAUGACUUUAAAAGAAACAAAAACACGGAGAGUAAAAGAUUCAGGAGUCGGCUGGCCUUGGCCCACAGAUCCUUCUCAAGUUUUUUUGAAUCGAAAUCUCUGGAGAAGGAAAAUGCUGAACAGAGUCCAAAGUUUUCAGUGAAAAAUGAAAAGGAAAAAGCCAAGUUGCACCAAACAACUUGGAAAGCAUUUCUGAAAAGUAAGGAGACAGAUGGCCAAAAGCGGUUUGCCUUAAAUAGUCCUCUUCCAACACAGCAGAGUUCUUGUUCUAGCAGGAUCCCUGGCAGCUUUCCUAGAAGACCAUCCAAGGAAAAUCAGGAAGAUUGCAAUGGACAAGAGUUUAUGCAAUCAAGUGUGUCUAAUGGCUCAUCUGUAGAUGGUGGACAUUCUGAUUCCUCUGGGACUGGUGAUUUUCUAUCUAUGGAUACCAAGAGGAGGAAUCAUGAACUGAAUAUAAAAUGUCUGCAUAGCCUAGAUUGCAAUGGGAAAGAGGAAACGAUGAGCAGUGAUGGAGAUACAUCUUUUGAAGAAUUCUGGCUGAAAUCUCCAAUUAGUCCGAUUGACCUGCAGUCAUCAUUUUCUCACUUCACUCCCUCUUGCCCCCAGUUGUCAAUGUAUGAACGUAAAGAUAUGCCAUGUAGACCCAUGAGUCCCAAGCCACAGAGUCCUCGAACUGGUUCUCAACGCAAGGGUUUCCAUUACCCUGGAAGAUUAAGUUCCACUUCAAUGAUAUCUCUUGGAAACAUCUCGGUGAUUGAUGGCAACUUGGAAGCACCUGAGAGGCCAAAGACAUUGAAGCCUAGACCUAGUUUCUUGCAAUCUAUGCAUUCGUUGGAUAAUGAUUAUCUGAGAGAGGACAGUGGGAUAAGCAGCCAGUCACAAAUCAGCUUGGACACAACUUCUUCAGUGAGUGAUAUCAUCAGAGAUGAGGUGAGUUGCUUUGUGGUGGUGAUGAUGUGGUUUAGUUUUGAGAGUUUGGAGUGUGGCAUCAUUGUUAUUUAUUUUUAUUUCUUUCUAAAAACCAUUUCCAUUCCAAACAAAGCCCAUUUCCAUAUGCUAAGCAGUGAAAUGGAAUAUAGAAUGUCACAGUGAAUCUACGAGUGCAUAUGCAGGGACAUAUGGCAUCAGAACUAAUUAUCUGUAUAACUUUUCCAGAACUACAUGCAGAACUACAUGCAUGUAUAACUUUUCCAGAACUACAACCAGGCCAUUCUGCAUACUGGUCUAAACCAGAGAAGUUAAGUGGCUAACCAAUUGAGUCCACAUGUAUGUAGUCAUCAUGAGACUGGUUUUAAAUCAGAUUCCCCAAACAUUAUGUCAGAAGAGGUGCCCAUGUAAACCACAGACAAAGGGACAGACUUCAUUUUAAAUAUAUCUUGUUUGAUUUGAAAUUAUGGUGGCUGACAUCACCAUUGUCUUUCAGUGGGAUGUGAAAGGUUUCCCUGCCGGCAACAUACCCUGACCUGAUGGACAGAUCUGUCCAUGUAGCCCAGAACCCUUUACUUGAUUGACAGCAGCACUCCAAUGUCUCAGAUGAUAACUUUCAAGUUAUCUGUUACCUGAUCAUUUUUAACUUGAGAUACCAAGGAUUGAACCUGGGACCUUUUGACAUGCAAAGCAUGUCAUCCGAGCUAUGGUCCUUUCUUCAAGGUUCAUUUUCUUCAAAGAUAUAGACUGCAUGCGCAUCACACAUUUAAAGUACCC